AUUCGCCCUUAGAGUUUGAUCCUGGCUCAGAACGAACGCUGGUAGCGUGGAUUAGGCAUGCAAGUCGAACGGGAUCACGAGGAUAGCAAUAUUCUUGUGUGAGAGUGGCGGAUUGGGGAGGAACACGUGAACAACCUGCCCUUGAGUUCGGGAAAACCGUUGGAAACGACGGCUAAUACCGGAUGUGGCGUCGGAGGACAUCCUCUGAACGCUAAAGGGGGCCGCAAGGCUCCCGCUCAUCGAGGGGUUCGCGCACCAUCAGCUUGUUGGCGGGGUAACGGCCCACCAAGGCCUACGGUUAGCUGGUCUGAGAGGAUGGUCAGCCACACUGGGACUGAGACACUGCCCAGACUCCUACGGGAGGCUGCAGUCGAGAAUCUUGGGCAAUGCGCGAAAGCGUGACCCAGCAAUGCCGCGUGUAUGAUGAAGGUCUUCGGAUUGUAAAAUACUGUCUCCCGUGACGAAAAGAUGACGGUAGCGGGGAAGGAAGCCACGGCUAACUACGUGCCAGCAGCCGCGGUAAUACGUAGGUGGCGAGCGCUGUUCGGAUUUAUUGGGCGUAAAGGGUCUGUAGGAUGUUUGUUAAAAGUGAGGUGAAAUCUGGGAGCUCAACUUUCAAAUUGCCUUGCUGACUGAUAAACUAGGGUACUGGAGAGGUAAGCGGAAUACCAAGUGUAGCGGUGGAAUGCGUAGAUAUUUGGUAGAACACCAAGAGCGAAGGCAGCUUACUUGCCAUUAACCGACUCUGAGAGACGAAAGCGUGGGUAGCGAACAGGAUUAGAUACCCUGGUAGUCCACGCCGUAAACGUUGUCAACUUGAUGUGGGUGGAUUUAGUCCUAUCCCUAUCGAAACAAACGCGAUAAGUUGAACCGCCUGGGGACUACGGCCGCAAGGCUUAAAACUCAAAGGAAUUGACGGGGGGCCCGCACAAGCGGUAGAGCAUGUGGGCUUAAUUCGAGGGCAACGCGAAGAACCUUACCUGGGCUUGAAAUAUACCUGACGAUGCUGGAAACAGUAUUUCCCUUCGGGGCGGGUAAACAGGUGCUAGCAUGGCUGUCGUCAGCUCGUGCCGUGAGGUGUUCGGUUAAGUCCGGCAACGAGCGCAACCCGUGUCAUUAGUUGCCAACAGGUAAAGCUGGGGACUCUAAUGAGACUGCCCGUGUUAAGCGGGAGGAAGGCGCGGAUGACGUCAAGUCAGUAUGGCCCUUACGCCCAGGGCUGCACACGUGCUACAAUGGGGGGUACAAUGAGAGGCGAAACUGCGAAGUGGAGCAAAUCUGCAAAACCCCUCUUAGUUCGGAUUGUAGUCUGCAACUCGACUACAUGAAGUUGGAAUCGCUAGUAAAGGCGUAUCAGCUACGACGCCUUGAAUACGUUCCCGGGCCUUGCACUCACCGCCGGUCA
rnacentral:rRNA from 1 species